AUUGAACGCUGGCGGCAGGCCUAACACAUGCAAGUCGAGCGGAUGAAGGGAGCUUGCUCCUGGAUUCAGCGGCGGACGGGUGAGUAAUGCCUAGGAAUCUGCCUGGUAGUGGGGGAUAACGUCCGGAAACGGGCGCUAAUACCGCAUACGUCCUGAGGGAGAAAGUGGGGGAUCUUCGGACCUCACGCUAUCAGAUGAGCCUAGGUCGGAUUAGAUAGUUGGUAGGGUAAAGGCCUACCAAGGCGACGAUCCGUAACUGGUCUGAGAGGAUGAUAAGUCACACUGGAACUGAGACACGGUCCAGACUACUACGGGAGGCAGCAGUGGGGAAUAUUGGACAAUGGGCGAAAGCCUGAUCCAGCCAUGCCGCGUGUGUGAAGAAGGUCUUCGGAUUGUAAAGCACUUUAAGUUGGGAGGAAGGGCAGUAAGUUAAUACCUUGCUGUUUUGACGUUACCAACAGAAUAAGCACCGGCUAACUUCGUG
rnacentral:rRNA from 1 species